rnacentral:rRNA from 1 species
UACGUAGGGUGCAAGCGUUAAUCGGAAUUACUGGGCGUAAAGCGUGCGCAGGCGGUUGUGCAAGACAGAUGUGAAAAUCCCCGGGCUCAACCUGGGAAUUACAUUUGUGACUGCACGGCUAGAGUGUGUCAGAGGGGGGGUAGAAUUCCACGUGUAGCAGUGAAAAUGCGUAGAGAUGUGGAGGAAUACCGAUGGCGAAGGCAGCCCCCUGGGAUAACACUGACGCUCAUGCACGAAAGCGUGGGGAGCAAACAGG